rnacentral:lncRNA from 1 species
AUGUAGUAAAAUUAAUCAAAUUUUAUUUUAUUACAUCUGGACUUUGAGUCAUAUUUCAGUAUAUGACUUAUAGUCAUGCCUUUCCCUACACACAAGUUAUAGAGGAAUCUGCUUAUCUGGUCCUUGCCUGUAAAUAUGGAUGCUGAUGUUGUUAGGGUUGUUAUGAGGCUGAAAUAAAAUACAGUGGCACCUCGGUUCUCGAACUUACUCUGUUCCACCAUUCUGGAGAAGAUGGCUUGAGGUCAUGUUCCUCACCUGAUGCAAUGUUCUCAAAUGCAAGCAAAAUUUUGCUGAGCCCUUCUGUUGGUGAACAGAAUUGUUUUCAAACAGAAGAAUUUGCGAACUAAGAACUAAUAGAAAGUAAUUGAACACAAAAUCUGAGCAAGAAGAGUCAGAUGAAUUGAAUAUGUGACAUUUCAAGGCAUCAGGCUGUGACCGCCAUCUUACCAAAGGAACAGCCUUAGUACAGACAUUGGAGAACAUGAUGCCUCUGGACAGGACAGAAUGGAUACUACCUACCUUCACCCCACUGCCUUUCCUCAGUCUUGGCCUUCAGGGAUGACCAGGGCCCCCUUCAGAUUGACCUAUUCUUCCUUCAGCUAAUGACAAGUAUAAUUAAGAAGUGUUUGAUGACUCCUGAACAGCUAGCUAUCUUUCAUGUCAAUCACAUUUCCCAUGAUCAGCACAGGAAGUGUGAAAAAGAAAAGCUAUUUUUGCUGAACUUAACUCUUUCAGAAGCAUUCAAAUUUGGUAGCAGUGAGUUCACUUUCUGAUACAUUCAGGUAAUGA